rnacentral:lncRNA from 13 species
GUUUAUUAUAAAGCUGAAAUGCCUACUCUAGACUAUAAUACAUUGUGAUCAUUAAAGUAUUACCAAUGGCAAUCACAGUAUUUUGUAAAAAGUCUGCUUGAUAAAUAUUCUUUGAAUUAAUUUUUUUUUUUGAGACAGAGUCUUGCACUGUCGCCCUGGCUGGAGUGCAAUGAUACAAUCUCCACUCACUGCAACCUCUGCCUUCCACAUUCAAGCAAUUCUCCUGCCUCAGCCUCCUGAGUAGCUGGGAUUAUAGGCGCCCCCACCACGCCUGGUGGGAUGCAGACAGAUCGGUGAGGCAUGUUGCAAAACACCAGCAAGAGAUCCAGGGCUCACUCCUGGGGCUGACUCUGAUUAGACCCUUGCUGACCACAGUUCAAGUAGAUGAAAAGGCAUCCGGUUUGGACUUAACUGAGGGCAAUGUGAAGGUGAGCAUCCAGUUAUGUCCCAUGUCCUUUGAACAACUGUCAUUGCACAGACAAACCAUUUUGGGGACUGUUUAUGCUUACUUGAAGUAUUAGUAGUAAACUCACUGCGUUACCCCCAGUGAUAGUCACUGAAGGCAUUUAAAAAAUCUGCAAAAACAAAAAUCAAACUCAUAAUAAAAAUAAACCCCACAACA